GACGAACGCUGGCGGCGUGCCUAAUACAUGCAAGUCGAACGAGAGCGACCGGUGCUUGCCCUGGUCAAUCUAGUGGCGAACGGGUGAGUAACACGUGGGUAACCUGCCCAUCAGAGGGGGAUAACAUCCGGAAACGGAUGCUAAAACCGCAUAGGUCUUCGAGCCGCAUGGCUUGAAGAGGAAAAGAGGCGCAAGCUUCUGCUGAUGGAUGGACCCGCGGUGCAUUAGCUAGUUGGUGAGGUAACGGCUCACCAAGGCCGUGAUGCAUAGCCGACCUGAGAGGGUGAUCGGCCACAUUGGGACUGAGACACGGCCCAAACUCCUACGGGAGGCAGCAGUAGGGAAUCUUCCGCAAUGGACGCAAGUCUGACGGAGCAACGCCGCGUGAGUGAAGAAGGUGUUCGGAUCGUAAAACUCUGUUGUUAGAGAAGAACAAGUGCUAGAGUAACUGUUAGCGCCUUGACGGUAUCUAACCAGAAAGCCACGGCUAACUACGUG
rnacentral:rRNA from 1 species